GAGGAUCUGAGAAGACAUCAAGAAAAAAUCAGAAGCUCAAAGAGCCAGAUCAAUAAUCAUAUGCAAGAAUCAUGAUAUCAUGACUGGGAGUCAGCAUAUCUUUAUCAUUCCUAACUUAAACACAGCAAGCUGUUCUGCAACUCUGUAUUUCUCCGUAUGAUCUGCUGACACUCUGGAUAAUCAACUUCUGUUGGAGCUGGCAUGGGAUUUCUGCCCUCUCUGCAUUCCUGGAGGCUGCACAGAGGAAAGACAGCCCAGGCUGCAGCAUGCACUCUGGAGCCCUUAAAGCACAGCAUGGCUCGUCUGAGAACCUGCUGGUGCCUUCAAGCAAAGUCCCCCGGAUAUUUAUCAGACUGGUUGGUGAAACACAGGCAUACAAAGGACAUGAGACAGAAUAAAACCAGUGUGUGCCCACCCAACUGUGCAAGAAGACAAUAAGAAACGUACUCGUUUUCCAUACAAAAGUUGCUUUCUGGGUGCUUGCAAAUCCUGCAUUUUCCACACUGAGGAGAAAAGAGUGGAAUGACUUUAUCACCUGGAUGAAGAGAAACAAAAUGGCUUAAAUGUCUGUCCAGAAAUCAAUAAAGCAACAACUUGAAGCUUACACUUAGAGACAUGUGUCUUUGAAAGACUCCAGGAGAUAGGGCCCAACUGCGCUAUGUCAGUCUAGUUAGUCAUUUUCAUUUAAAGUGCCUGAAGAUUCCAGGAAGAGAAAAAUGAAGUGAAACCAGCCAUUUCCACCCAUCAGCAGUUGAACUUUGUUGUGUGCCUCAGUUUCUCUUGGGAGCUUUGUACAUAUCCUAAUUAAACCUUGGAUAUGGUUGCUGCUAAGAAGAAAUACACACUUUUGUUGCAAAUGGGUUGCUAUCUUCCUGCUAGAUUUUGGUGAGAACUGAUAUUUGGCAAGAACUGAUAUGAUAGUUACAAUAAAAGUAAGAUUAAAGAAACACUAUAUGGGCAAUAUUUUAUAAUAAAAAUAAAACAAAUUAAACUUGAUCAUAAAAUCAAAUUAAAGUGGGAAUCUUGAUAGCCAGCUUUUGCCCUGUUAUUGUUUAAGACUUUUUUGUUGUUGUUGUUGUUGUUUUAUGUGCAUGUGAGAGUAUCUGUGUGUGUGUGCCAUCUCUGUGUGUGUGCCCUUGGAAGCCAGCAGAGGGUGUUGGGUCCUCUGGAGCUGGAGUUACAAGUGGCUGUGAAUGACCCAGUUGGUUGCUCUAGAAGAGCAUGGUAUGCCCUGAGCCACAGAAUCAUUUCUCCAUGGUCCACUUUUGACUUUUUAAAGUGAUUGUGCUUCUCCUAUUAAGCAAUAAAUGCUUUAGAAACAAUCUUAGUUAUUUUUUGAGGAAGCAUAAUAAAAAAAUAUGACAAGCCACAAAUUGCUUUGGAAAUCUCAGUUCUUAACAAUGAGUUAAAUAUUUUCUCUAGGAAAUAAAAAGAGACUUUUGGUUUUUUAAGAUAAUUAUUUAUGAAUUAUUGAUUUUUCUGCCAUAGAAAAAGCAGCAACUGGGAGAGUGCAGGUGUCAUUUUGCUGCUAGGUUUUUUUUUUCUGAAUAAAAGAAAUAAUAAAAGCUUAAC
ensembl:antisense Gm16559 uncharacterized LOC110320170